rnacentral:rRNA from 1 species
AUGCAGGUGAUCGCCGUUGAAAGACGGUUUCCUCUUCGGAGGCACCUGCACAGGUGCUGCAAUGGCUGUCGUCAGCUCGUGUCGUGAGAUGUUGGGUUAAGUCCCGCAACGAGCGCAACCCUUAUCCCUAGUUGCCAUCAGGUAAAGCUGGGAACUCUGGGGAGACUGCCGGUGAUAAACCGGAGGAAGGCGGGGAUGACGUCAAGUCCUCAUGGCCCUUACAUCCCGGGCUACACACGUGCUACAAUGGCAGGUACAGAGGGCUGCGAAGCCGCGAGGUGGAGCGAAUCCCAGAAAACCUGUCUCAGUCCGGAUUGAAGUCUGCAACUCGACUUCAUGAAGGCGGAAUCGCUAGUAACCGCGAAUCAGCAGGUCGCGGUGAAUACGUUCCCGGGCCUU